AUUGAACGCUGGCGGCAGGCCUAACACAUGCAAGUCGAACGGUAACAGGAAGAAGCUUGCUUCUUUGCUGACGAGUGGCGGACGGGUGAGUAAUGUCUGGAAACUGCCUGAUGGAGGGGGAUAACUACUGGAAACGGUAGCUAAUACCGCAUAACGUCGCAAGACCAAAGAGGGGGACCUUCGGGCCUCUUGCCAUCGGAUGUGCCCAGAUGGGAUUAGCUAGUAGGUGGGGUAACGGCUCACCUAGGCGACGAUCCCUAGCUGGUCUGAGAGGAUGACCAGCCACACUGGAACUGAGACACGGUCCAGACUCCUACGGGAGGCAGCAGUGGGGAAUAUUGCACAAUGGGCGCAAGCCUGAAGCAGCCAUGCCGCGUGUAUGAAGAAGGCCUUCGGGUUGUAAAGUACUUUCAGCGGGGAGGAAGGGAGUAAAGUUAAUACCUUUGCUCAUUGACGUUACCCGCAGAAGAAGCACCGGCUAACUCCGUG
rnacentral:rRNA from 1 species